rnacentral:rRNA from 1 species
CCUACGGGAGGCAGCAGUGGGGAAUAUUGGGCAAUGGGCGCAGGCCUGCCCCAGCAACGCCGCGUGAAGGAGGAGGGCUUUCGGGUUGUAACCUUCUUUUCUCAGGGACGAAGCAAGUGACGGUACCUGAGGAAUAAGCCACGGCUAACUACUUUCCAGCAGCCGCGGUAAUACGUAGGUGGCAAGCGUUAUCCGGAUUUACUGGGUGUAAAGGGCGUGUAGGCGGGAAAGCAAGUCAGAUGUGAAAACCAUGGGCUCAACCUGUGGCCUGCAUUUGAAACUGUUUUUCUUGAGUACUGGAGAGGCAGACGGAAUUCCUAGUGUAGCGGUGAAAUGCGUAGAUAUUAGGAGGAACACCAGUGGCGAAGGCGGUCUGCUGGACAGCAACUGACGCUGAGGCGCGAAAGCGUGGGGAGCAAACAGGAUUAGAUACCCGGGUAGUC